AUUUCUGGAAACUAGACAUGUAGGGCUUCUUGAUUAAAUUUUAUUUCAUUAAAUUCAACUUCGUUUUCAAUUUUAUACGUAUUUUGGAAAUAGAAACCACUGCACUGGAAAUCCACGAUUCCAGUAUUGUGAUCAGAUUCAAAAGACUAUUUGUACCACCAAAUGAACUCAAAAAAUUCUGAAAGUUUAUAUGUAUGUUAAUAUAUGUGUCUAGGAUUCGCAGUUUUAAUUUCAUAAUUUUCUGAUUAGUAUUUUAUUUUAUAAAAAUCACGGAACCCAUUCUGUUUGGUUUAGAUUAUGUGAAAACAGUUUCGAAUUUGCUGAGAAGUAAAUAGUUUUUAAAAUGUUUUUGAUAUCGGAUUCUCUUGUAAAUUUUACAUGGGGUACUCAUGGAUGUCCAGAAUGGUUCCAUAGGAUUUUAUAUCAUUCUGAGACUUGGAUUAAGAGUUAAAAUUCUGAGAAUCAGACCUGUACGGGUAUGAAUUAGAAAAUCAAAUUCUUAGAAUACGUUAUUGAUUGUCAUAUCUUGUAUUUGUUUAAGGUUUUGAAGGUGUUUGAGGCUCUUAGAAGCUUAGAGGUGUGUUAAUCCAAGUUCAUUUGUCGAGGUAAGUAACUUCAUUCCUAGUAUACUGGAUAUGUAUAAGUAUUUUGAUAUUAUUGUUAUAAGUAUAAAUGUUUUUAUACUACUUAAAGGAUUAAUUGAUUUUGAUAACAAAAUUAGCUUUAUGUAAAUGUUUUCAAACCAUUCUUUUUAACAAAGUAUUUUAUAAAUGCUUUUUAAUAUGUAAAUGAUUUUAUGACAUGACAACCUUUUAUGAUUUUAUCUUUAAAAUGUUAUGCAAGCCUAAAUUAUUGUUAUGAACUUUUAUGAAACUGAUAUGAAUGUUUUGUACCUAUGUUUGAUUUCAAUUAUUGAUGAUUGUAUGAGAUUCUUAAUGCUUUGGCUCAUUGUCCAUAGUUAGUCUGAUUCUGAUUCUGAUUCUGAUCGUAAUAUACGAUAUAUCCGUCUGGACCAGUACUGGGUUUUUGUUCUGAAUGUACACACGAUAUUCUAAUUAUGUUUCUGGCCGGGUCACCGGGACUAUAGGUGACACUAUGUGACAUGAGCUAACCUGUUUGUUUUCUGUAUACGUAUUACAUGAGUUGAUUCGUAAGUAAAUAUGCUUUUGAAUAUUCUGAAUUAUUAAGAAUUUAUCUUAUGUUAUUGUGAUAUAUCGUUUUAUGAAAAUUAUGGAUUAUGAUAUAUGCUUUAAACAAAAGAAGGCUUGCAAUAUUUUUGGUAUCAAUAGGCCUAGUGUGUUAGGAAUGGUUUUACUUACCGAGUUGACGGCUCACCCCUCGUCAUUACUUUUUUGCAGAUUAAGUUUCUUUUGAGAGGUGCACUUAGCUUUGGAGUUAAUGAUUUCCAGUUUCCGUUUGCUAUUGAAUAAGAGGAGGAAUAGACUUGUGUUUCUAUUUAGUUACUUUUAUUAUGAACGUGUAAUUUGGAGUUUGAGACUUUUGUUAUUAUUUUUAUAUGUCCUCGAGAGAGAUUAUUUAGUAUUUGACGUUUGGAUUUAUGGAUUUAUUUGAAUAAGAAUUGGAGGAAUUUCAGUUUGAAACUUAUGAGUAAAGAUUAUGAUUUGUGAGUAACCUCCUUCUUCACGUGCUCCGCACGUGUUAGAUUUGGGGUGUUACAAUUGUGGUAUCAGAGCAACUAGGUUAGGAUUCUGUAGACUUUCUUUUACGGUUUAAUUAGAUUGUCUAAUUAAAUCGAUUACAUUUGUUUUGUAGACAUGAAGAAGGACAAUAUGGGUAUGAAAAGUGUCAAGAAUAAGGGAUGGACAGAAAUUGAUAGGACCGAACAAUUUAUCUUAGGAGGAGUUCUUGUCAAAGAUCUUAGGAGACUUCAUAAGCAGUGAAUGGAUGAUAGACUAAGACGGACUAUAGAGGUCUACAUCGAUACUCCUCCAGGACCUGGAGCUUCAAGAAAGAAGCUCAAUGAGGCUAUACGUGGACUACGUGUUUAUGGCAAGGGAGCUAACAAGAAUAAGCUUGUAAUACGUCGCCUAUUUUGGACAGGACCUCGAUUUAAGCCUUACUAUAGCAAAGGAUGGGUAUCUCCAGGUCUAAAUAAACUACCUUAUAGAACUCCUAAGGAAAUCGAGACAGAUGGAGUCACGACUAAGGAAAGGAAAGUAAAGAUAGAUCCUUUUCCUAUCCGGUUGAGUACACCUAUGAACUUUGUGGCUGUAGGACAUGAAACUCUGUAGACUUUAUUAAGGUUAAUAGAGUGAUUAAAUAUUUUAAGGCAAGGAGUAACUAGUAAUUCUAUUUUGGUCUUUUUGGCUUUCUAUGUUGCUUGUGACUUUGUAAUAACUCUUGUUAUAUGAUCUUUGGUAUUAACGUAGAAUGAAAUAUUUAUUGCUCUUGUUUACAAUAUCAAAUUUUCUUAGCUACACUACUUAUUCAGUACUCUGCGCGCUUGCACGACCUUUAGCUAUGAAUUAUUUACCCCUUUUUAAUUAUUUAUUUAUUCUCCGUGUUAUAGUCAAGAGAUGUCACGUAAGGGAGGUGCUAGGCAUGCCUCUAGCUCGAGAGAUGUUUUAGGUAUCGCUGACGACGCUGACCCAACCUUGCACGAGAUGGCUAACGAAGGAAAUCCUAUGAUGCGCGCAAUGCUUAGAUUGAUGGAACAACAAAGUAAGUUAAUUCAAGAUAUGGCUAGAGGCAGAGUUGGGGCACAAGAGAAUGUGCCAGUUGAAAGGCAAGGUGGCGCAAGAGAUCAUGGGGCUAUGGUGAACUUAGAACGAUUUAAGAAAUUGGGACCACCUACCUUUCAGGGGACUGCCGAUUCCAUGGUUGCAGAGGCAUGGCUAAAACAGAUGGAGAAGAUAUUUGUGGCUAUGGGUUGUAAUGAUGAUCAAAGGGUAAUAUUAGCCUCAUUUGUCCUUCAGGGUGAGGCAGACCACUGGUGGGAUGCCAAAUCUCGUCUCAUAAGGGCUGGCUUGCAAGAUGCACCCAUUACUUGGGAGUUAUUUUUGGAGGCUUUUCAUGAAAAGUAUUUUCCUGAACGAGUUCGACAUCAGAUGGAGGCUGAUUUCUUGAGGUUAACUCAAGGAACAAAGUCUGUUGCGGAGUAUGAGGAACAAUUUACUGCCCUCUCUCGUUUUGCUCAUACCUUGGUUGCUAAUGAAGGUAGUAAGUGUAGGAAGUUCCUGGAAGGGUUACGUCCUAACAUUAAAGGGCGAUUGACCAUCCUUAAGAUUAACAAUUAUGCCGAUUUGGUGGACCGAGCAAUUCUUGCGGAGAAGGAUAUUCUUGAAGCCCAAGUUACAAAGGAUCAGAGAAAUAAGAAGAAUCAACAAGGUGGACCGCGAAAUGGAAGUUCCUUUAGGCAGGGCACUCACUCCCAGAAGUAUAAUGGUGGAGGUAACAAAUGGGAUAACAAGGGUGUUACUGGUGACACCGCUCGGAGGAACUACCCCAUUUGUCGACAUUGUGAAAGGAGGCACCCUGGUGAAUGCCAUUGGAAAACUGGAGCUUGUUUUGCUUGUGGAGAAUCUGGGCAUAGGAUUAUGGAUUGCCCAAAGAGACGUAGCGAGACUACAAAUACUCAGACUAACGAAGGGCAGAGGAAGAAACCGAGGGUACAAGGGCGUGUUUUUGCACUAACAGAAAAAGAUGCUGAGGUGUCCAAUGAUGUAGUAUCAGGUACAUUGUCUUUAUUCUCUAGAGAAGCCAAAGUUCUUUUUGAUCCUGGUGCUACACAUUCAUUUGUAUCUUGUGUGUUUGCCCGUUAUGCUAAUGUGCCUAUCACACCACUGGAUGUUCACGUGACAAUUAGUACCCCUAUGGGGGAUUGCUAGUUUAUAGAUCAUGUCUAUAAGUCAUGUGUGAUCAGAUUGUGUGAUAAAGAAUUCCUUGUGGAUCUCCUACCUUUAGAGAUGCACGAUUUUGAUUUGAUUUUGGGGAUGGAUUGGUUAGGACCUUACCAUGUUUCAAUAGAUUGUUUUGCUAAUUAAAUUAUUUUUCGCCUACCUGGCGAGGAAAAAUUUCAUUUUCAAGGGAAUCAUAAGAGUCAUAAAGCUUUGAUUUCUAUGGUUAAGGCAAUGAAAAUGCUAAAGAAGGGGUGUGAAGGAUUUUUAGCGUAUAUAGUUGCUGACCAUCCCGAUGGGGCGUGCCUUGAAGACAUACCUAUUGUAAGGGAGUUUAUUGAUGUAUUUCCUGAAGAUCUUCCGGGACUACCCCCAGAUCGAGAGGUUGAGUUUACUAUAGAAUUAGUUCCUGGUACUACACCUAUAUCCAAGGCACCAUAUCGGAUGGCACCCAUUGAAUUAAAAGAACUAAAGGUCCAGCUACAAGAAUUACUAGAUAAGGGUUUCAUUCGUCCUAGUGUGUCGCCUUGGGGUGCUCCCGUUUUGUUCGUAAAGAAGAAAGAUGGUUCAAUGAGGUUGUGUAUAGACUACCGGCAGUUGAAUAUGGUUACCGUCAAGAAUAAAUACCCUCUUCCCCGAAUUGAUGACCUCUUUGAUCAAUUACGAGGUGCAGCGGUAUUCUCUAAAAUUGAUUUACGAUCUGGCUACCAUCAAUUGAAAAUAAGAAGUGAGGAUGUAUCGAAGACAGCUUUUCGAACUCGUUAUGGACACUAUGAGUUCUUAGUUAUGCCUUUUGGAUUAACUAAUGCUCCUGCAGUGUUCAUGGAUUUGAUGAAUAGGAUCUUCCAACCUUAUCUUGACCAGUUUGUCAUCGUCUUUAUUGAUGACAUAUUAAUUUACUCUAAGAGUAAGAAGGAGCAUGAGUCGCACCUGAGGAUUGUAUUAGAAACAUUGCGGAAGAAGAAGUUGUAUGGAAAAUUUAAGAAAUGUGAGUUUUGGCUUGAUCGUGUGAUGUUUUUGGGACAUAUAGUGACGAAGGAUGGUAUUUCAGCAGAUCCAGCCAAAGUGGAGGUAAUUGUGAAUUGGGAAAGGCCUGCUAGUGUGACUGAAGUAAGGAGUUUCUUAGGAUUGGCAGGUUAUUAUAGGCGCUUUGUCAAAGGAUUUUCUAGCAUAGCAGCACCAUUGACUAAUUUGACUAAGAAGAAUGUGAAGUUCAAUUGGGAUGAGGCAUGUGAAAAGAGCUUUUAAGAGCUCAAGAGUCAUUUGGUGACUGCCCCCGUUUUAACUCUCCCUUCUGAAGGUGGAGGUUUUGUGAUUUACAGUGAUGCUUCCAGAAAAGGUUUGGGUUGCGUUUUAAUGCAACAUGGUAAGGUUAUAGCAUAUGCUUCUAGGCAGCUAAAGAAUCAUGAACAAAACUACCCAACACAUGAUUUGGAAUUGGCUGCUAUAAUGUUUGCUCUAAAAAUCUGGAGACACUAUUUGUAUGGGGAGACUUGUGAGAUCUUCACCGAUCAUAAGAGUUUGAAGUACUUGUUUACUCAAAAGGAAUUGAAUUUGAGGCAAAGAAGAUGGUUGGAGUUGGUAAAGGAUUUUGAUUGUUCUAUUAAUUACCAUCCAGGUAAGGCAAACGUAGUAGCGGAUGUCUUGAGUAGGAAAUCAUCUGGGUGCAUGGCUCAUCUUAUCACCAUGCAAUCUCAUUUGGUAAAAGACUUGAGGAGAUGUGGGAUUGAGGUAGUUACUCAUGGGCAAGCAGACGUGUUAGCACAUUUGACAGUCCAACCCACUCUAAUUGAUAGAGUUAAGGUAGCUCAGAAGAACGACAUAGAACUCAAUAAAAUCCGUGAAGAUGUGAGCAAAGGACAUAAGCCCGGAUUUAGACUUGAUAAUGGGGAUGGAUUAUGUUUGGGACAAAGGUUAUGCGUGCCAGCAGACGAAGAGUUGAAGGCGGAGAUCUUAAGAGAAGCUCAUGAAUCAUCUUACAGUAUGCAUCCUGGUAGUACUAAGAUGUAUCGUGAUCUAAAGCAAAGUUUUUGGUGGAGGAAUAUGAAGAGAGAUAUUGCUGCUUUUGUGUCUCGGUGUUUAGUCUGCCAACAAGUAAAGAUUGAGCAUUAAAGACCAGCAGGAACUUUACAAACGCUUCCUAUUCCUCAGUGGAAAUGGGAACACAUAACAAUGGAUUUCGUUUCUGGAUUACCUCGUUCUAGGAGGGGAUGUGAUUGCAUUUGGGUAAUUGUUGAUCGAUUGACGAAAUCAGCUCAUUUCUUGGCAAGGAAGAGUACAGACAAUGUAGGGCAACUAGCUAAGUUGUUCAUUAAGGAGAUAGUGAGGCUUCAUGGGGUUCCAGUGUCAAUAGUGUCUGAUAGAGAUCCACUGUUCACUUCAAGAUUUUGGGCUAGCUUACAUAAAGAGUUGGGGACGAAAUUGAGAUUUAGCACUGCUUUUCAUCCACAGACAGAUGGGCAAUCCGAAAGGACUAUUCAAACCCUUGAGGAUAUGCUUCGAGCUUGCGUCCUAGACUUGAGUGGUGGUUGGGAAGAGCACCUAAUGUUGAUCGAAUUUGCUUAUAACAAUAGCUUCCAUUCGAGUAUUGGCAUGGCACCAUUUGAGGCAUUAUAUGGAAGAAAGUGUAGGUCCCCAAUCUGCUGGGAUGAAGUUGGUGAAAGAAAACUUUUGGGUCCAGAAUUAAUACAGAUUACUGUUGAUAAAAUCAAGUUGAUUAGAGGACGUCUUCAAACAGCUCAGAGCAGACAGAAGAGUUAUGCAGAUCGUCGUAGACGUGAGUUGGAAUUCGAAAAAGGAGAUUUUGUUUUCUUGAAAGUAUCGCCAUGGAAAGGGGUGUUUCGGUUCGGGAAGACAGGAAAGCUUAGCCCUAGAUUUAUUGGACCAUUUGAGAUUUUAGAGAGAAUUGGUCCGGUGGCCUAUCGCAUAGCUUUACCACCAAGUCUGUCUAGGCUUCACAAUGUAUUUCAUGUGUCUGUGUUAAGAAAGUACAUUGCAGACCCUUUACAUGUGCUAGACUAUCAACCGAUUCAGAUAAAUGAAGACAUGUCGUAUGAGGAACAGCCUAUUGAGAUUGUCGAUCGAGACGAACAAGUAUUAAGGAAUAGAGUUAUUCCCCUAGUGAAGGUACGAUGGAUGAAUCAUUCUAUUGAGGAAGCCACUUGGGAGAGAAGCAGAAAUGUUGGAGAAGUAUCCUCAACUCUUCCAUGCAUAAGGUAACCUUUUAAUUUCGAGGACGAAAUUUUUGUUAGGAGGGGAGAAAUUGUAACGCCACAAAUUCCCAUACAUAUUAAAUUAUGGAAAUUGGGCUUUCAUUGAGAAUUAUGGGUGGCCUAUAACCCUUAUUUAGAAAGGGGUACUAAUUAAAUAGAGGUUAUUUAUGAGAUCAUUUUGGAAAAGGGCUAUUUUUCCUUAUUGAAUAGGGUUUCUUAAGAUCCCCUAUAAAUACAUACUUUUCCCCCUUCCAUAACCCUAAGUUCACAACGUUUAUCCUUCUUCUCUGCUGCUCUUUACGCUCCUACCCAAAUCUUAGGAUUCAAACCUUUGUUUAGGAGAGACUCAAAGCGACGGGUAAGUUCACAACGUUUAUUCUGAACAGCAUGAGUAUCUCGAAUUUUUAAAGCUAUAUUUUCUGAACGAAUUUUCUUAUAAAAUUUAUAUUUCUGGAAACUAGACAUGUAGGGCUUCUUGAUUAAAUUUUAUUUCAUUAAAUUCAACUUCGUUUUCAAUUUUAUACGUAUUUUGGAAAUAGAAACCACUGCACUGGAAAUCCACGAUUCCAGUAUUGUGAUCAGAUUCAAAAGACUAUUUGUACCACCAAAUGAACUCAAAAAAUUCUGAAAGUUUAUAUGUAUGUUAAUAUAUGUGUCUAGGAUUCGCAGUUUUAAUUUCAUAAUUUUCUGAUUAGUAUUUUAUUUUAUAAAAAUCACGGAACCCAUUCUGUUUGGUUUAGAUUAUGUGAAAACAGUUUCGAAUUUGCUGAGAAGUAAAUAGUUUUUAAAAUGUUUUUGAUAUCGGAUUCUCUUGUAAAUUUUACAUGGGGUACUCAUGGAUGUCCAGAAUGGUUCCAUAGGAUUUUAUAUCAUUCUGAGACUUGGAUUAAGAGUUAAAAUUCUGAGAAUCAGACCUGUACGGGUAUGAAUUAGAAAAUCAAAUUCUUAGAAUACGUUAUUGAUUGUCAUAUCUUGUAUUUGUUUAAGGUUUUGAAGGUGUUUGAGGCUCUUAGAAGCUUAGAGGUGUGUUAAUCCAAGUUCAUUUGUCGAGGUAAGUAACUUCAUUCCUAGUAUACUGGAUAUGUAUAAGUAUUUUGAUAUUAUUGUUAUAAGUAUAAAUGUUUUUAUACUACUUAAAGGAUUAAUUGAUUUUGAUAACAAAAUUAGCUUUAUGUAAAUGUUUUCAAACCAUUCUUUUUAACAAAGUAUUUUAUAAAUGCUUUUUAAUAUGUAAAUGAUUUUAUGACAUGACAACCUUUUAUGAUUUUAUCUUUAAAAUGUUAUGCAAGCCUAAAUUAUUGUUAUGAACUUUUAUGAAACUGAUACGAAUGUUUUGUACCUAUGUUUGAUUUCAAUUAUUGAUGAUUGUAUGAGAUUCUUAAUGCUUUGGCUCAUUGUCCAUAGUUAGUCUGAUUCUGAUUCUGAUUCUGAUCGUAAUAUACGAUAUAUCCGUCUGGACCAGUACUGGGUUUCUGUUCUGAAUGUACACACGAUAUUCUGAUUAUGUUUCUGGCCGGGUCACCGGGACUAUAGGUGACACUAUGUGACAUGAGCUAACCUGUUUGUUUUCUGUAUACGUAUUACAUGAGUUGAUUCGUAAGUAAAUAUGCUUUUGAAUAUUCUGAAUUAUUAAGAAUUUAUCUUAUGUUAUUGUGAUAUAUCGUUUUAUGAAAAUUAUGGAUUAUGAUAUAUGCUUUAAACAAAAGAAGGCUUGCAAUAUUUUUGGUAUCAAUAGGCCUAGUGUGUUAGGAAUGAUUUUACUUACCGAGUUGACGGCUCACCCCUCGUCAUUACUUUUUUGCAGAUUAAGUUUCUUUUGAGAGGUGCACUUAGCUUUGGAGUUAAUGAUUUCCAGUUUCCGUUUGCUAUUGAAUAAGAGGAGGAAUAGACUUGUGUUUCUAUUUAGUUACUUUUAUUAUGAACGUGUAAUUUGGAGUUUGAGACUUUUGUUAUUAUUUUUAUAUGUCCUCGAGAGAGAUUAUUUAGUAUUUGACGUUUGGAUUUAUGGAUUUAUUUGAAUAAGAAUUGGAGGAAUUUCAGUUUGAAACUUAUGAGUAAAGAUUAUGAUUUGUGAGUAACCUCCUUCUUCACGUGCUCCGCACGUGUUAGAUUUGGGGUGUUACACCACCCGUUUUUGUGGCCUUUUCCCGCUGGACGAACUUGGCGCCCCGGCCUUCAGGCACUUGCUCAAUUCCUUCUCUGCAAAUUUGAACGCUUGAACACGCACCGUCAUCCCAGUUCCUUGCAGUCGUCUCGAAGCCCCUGCUUUCAGUAGAGGAAAGACGAUUCUGUAUAGCCAUCAAACAGAUAAGAAAAUUUGAAACAAUCCAAGGUUUCUCAGAUCAAAUGAAACCCCAAGAUCAAUCAAGACCAAUGGAUGAUCUUGUACUUAGCUCUAAAACAAACAAGUAAAACCAUCGAAGAAAUUGGAUCAAAACCAGCAGGUUUAGAUUGAUUAUUUAUAAACAUCAUACUUGCCACACUCUUGGCGUGUAAAUCCUUAGAUUCACAGGUCUUAUAUCACAUGAAUGAAGAUGCUAGUGGUGUGCCUCCAUGGAUCUCUUAGUUUUCAAGUUGUUUUAUUUGACUGACCACCUAAGUUUGAAUCGUGGUGAGGGAAGAAGAUAAAAAUUAAUUUGAUCUUUGCACCUCACUACUUUUAAAAGAGCUCAAACUUCAGACUCAGUUUUGAAUUUUAAUUAUUUUAAAUUGAAACGCUAAUUCCAUAUAUUAUAUAUAUGAGUUUUUUUUCCCAAGGUUGAAUUA
rnacentral:lncRNA from 1 species